rnacentral:rRNA from 1 species
UACGGGGGGAGCAAGCGUUGUUCGGAUUUACUGGGCGUAAAGGGCGCGUAGGCGGCGUGACAAGUCACUUGUGAAAUCUCCGGGCUUAACCCGGAGCGGCCAAGUGAUACUGUCGUGCUAGAGUGCGGAAGGGGCUACUGGAAUUCUCGGUGUAGCGGUGAAAUGCGUAGAUAUCAAGAGGAACACCUGAGGCGAAGGCGGGUUGCUAGGCUGACACUGACGCUGAUGCGCGAAAGCCAGGGGAGCAAACGGG